rnacentral:tRNA from 1 species
GGUUGUGGCUCAGUGGUAGAGCAUUUGCCUAGAACAUGUGAGGCCCUGGGUUCAAUUCUCAGCACCG